rnacentral:tRNA from 1 species
UCCCCGAUAGUCUAGUGGUGAGGAUAUCUGCUUGUCAAAUUCAAACGAUUCGCAGGGGACCGGGGUUCAAUUCCCCGUCGAGGAG